AUUAAAAAUGUCUCUGAUAAUCUAGUACACUUUGGGCAGACAAUAAACAAUGCGAGAAAACAUCAAAACAUUAUUUAUUCUCGGACAUAAUCUAUUGGCUGUUAUAAAUUUCAUGCUUUUCACUUAGCCACGCCGUUGACUCGGCUGCCCUUAUGGAGUUUAUGUUUUUUCUCGGACAACCUUUUUUUUGUGGUUGUCCAAUCCUUGGCAAAGAAUGCCAGAUCGCAAUGUCCCGUGCUGGGCGCGGAUUUUGAUUUUGCUGGUGCCUCUGUUUCUGGCGGUGGCUUUGGCUGUGAUUCUCUGGUACGUGCUGCAGCCAAGGCGUGAGCGUGUUAAUUAAUUUCUUUGCCAUUCUUUGUCGUUUUUUGCUGUCGUUGCCAUUGCAGCGCUUUAAAGUCGCCUCGCUCUUUGUUGAUGUACGGCAAAAUUCCAGUGUAUUUGCAGGCAACUGGCUUUUGCAUACGACCAUGCUCUGUCGUCUAUCGUCGAAACAUCUAUUAGUUCUCGCUGACUGUUGCAUUCCGAGAAUUUUCUAGUGUCGGAGCUGAAGUGGCUGGUGAAAAAUGGUGGAAAGCAAACCGUUGCGAUGUUCCCCAAUAACAAAUCGCCAAGCAUUAGUCAAAUGCGUUGAAAUUUAUGCUAAAAAUGCAAUCAACUAGCGUUCCGCUCCAGCUACGGCCACCCAAGUGGCAGCCAGCCACAGGGCGCACUCACUUGUGGCCAACUGGGCGAUGGCUAACGAGCCAGUUGUAACUGGGAAGACGACUGAUCCGCUGAGUUCUGUGGAAUACUGUGAAUUUGUUUCAGUUUUUGAUAAAUGUAGUGAAAUAAAUAAGAUAAUUGCUGAACAGCCGCAUAGAA